rnacentral:rRNA from 1 species
UACGAAGGGGGCUAGCGUUGCUCGGAAUUACUGGGCGUAAAGGGCGCGUAGGCGGCCCUGUUAGUCAGGCGUGAAAUUCCUGGGCUCAACCUGGGGACUGCGCUUGAUACGGCAGAGCUUGAGGAUGGAAGAGGGUCGCGGAAUUCCCAGUGUAGAGGUGAAAUUCGUAGAUAUUGGGAAGAACACCGGUGGCGAAGGCGGCGACCUGGUCCAUUACUGACGCUGAGGCGCGAAAGCAUGGGGAGCGAACAGG